rnacentral:rRNA from 1 species
UUGAGUUUCCUUAACUGCCCCCGGGCGUGUUCGCCACCCUCGUACACCAAAUUAAGCUUCGUUGCGCGUCUUGGAAUGGUUGGGAACUGUACCCAUAGCGCCUUGGUCUCUACCAAGAAAGUCAAGCCGACCUAUGGUGUGUCCACGACGUACCGACAGCAGUCGAGCACAGCACUCUACAAGCCAAUUCAGGCCGUUGCUCGCGUUGGGUGUGAGAAUCAACGGUAGUAAGUCAACCCGUGAGAUCCUCUUGACGGCCACUAUUCGGCCUCCUUCCACACCUACUGCAGUUCAGGAGUACCGGGAAUGCCCAACCCGAUGUGUGCACGAUGUUACCACCACUGUUACUCAAUUAGAGUUUUUCGGUAGAGUCAAGCCUAACAGCGGACGUUGAGCCGCCGUACUUCAGCCUUAGCGAUCAUUAGCGCAUUGUCGUACUGCGCCACUUAUGCAAGGGCCCGGAACAUGUGUGGCGGGCAGUGUGGUACCCUUAACCUAGAUGGGCUUCCACCACGCGGUUGGACGUUUCCUCCGUCGGUUGGUGCCAUCCAAGUCACUGACCCCACUUCAGCAUUGUUCCAUCGGCAUUUCCCGCUUAAGACGUCUAUAGGUAGUGUGACCGCCGGCGAGCUCGUACGUA